AGAUCAUUUAUGAAAAAGAGAGUACUCUGUAAGGAUGUUCAUAGCGAGCAAGGAAUCGGUGUAAGCCUUGCACUACUUACAGACGAAGCGCACUUUGGAAAUGUUUGCUUGAAACGAAGUAGAGCAGACCGGGACUUCCCGUUAACAAGUCAAGUGGCCUUUUGGCAACGAGAGUGGUACCGCGGUCAAUAUCCGUCUCUUCU
rnacentral:ncRNA from 1 species